GGGCCCAUAGCAUAAUGGCAGUGCGCCCGCUUUGCACGCGGGGUGUGGGAGUUCAAUUCUCCCUGGGUCCA
rnacentral:tRNA from 1 species